UACGUAGGUGACCAGCGUUGUCCGGAUUUACUGGGCGUAAAGAGCGCGCAGGCGGUCGUUCAAGUCGAGUGUGAAAGCCCCCGGCUCAACUGGGGAGGGUCAUUCGAUACUGAUCGACUCGAAGGCAGGAGAGGGAAGUGGAAUUCCCGGUGUAGUGGUGAAAUGGCGUAGAUAUCGUUUGGAACGGCCAAUGGUGAAAACAGGUAACUGGGGGCUGUGCCGACGCUGAGACACGAAAGCCAGGGGAGCGAACGGG
rnacentral:rRNA from 1 species